CAGGUUGCUUGGAUGCAUUCUCCGAAAUUCAGAAUUUUUAUGGCAGCAGUAAUAUAGUGACAGCAGAAAUUUCCACUAAUCUGUCCUCAAAGUUCAAUGGUCCUUUAUCCAGAUGGAAGAUCACUGAAGUCUGUAGACUUAAUACCCAGAAGACAAUCAAUGUUUGUAUAAAAUGGGAAAUUGCCUUAUAGUAGGUGAACCAGCUGAUAAAACAAAGAUGAUAUUCAUGGCCAUGACUCAGUUUGGUUUGUUGUUGGAGCAAAUAUUGUUGGUUCAGUCUCUGUUGUAAAAUGGAAGCAAUGCACUUUACAGUCAGUGAAUAAUAUAUUUAUAAAGUAGUAGCAGCCAGGUGAUCAAAUGGACUUUACUGAUCAUCAGCAGUAACAUAUUCCAACAUAUACAACAACAUAUUGCCAGGAGAGGGCGCUCUAGCAAAUUUACCCCCAAGGUCAGACUGAAGUAAAUCUGAAACUCUACAGCCUGUUAAAUCUUAAAGUUCAUCACAGUAUAACUAGAAAAAGGCUGAACAAGUAUGACUUGUCUGGGUAGUUUGCCAAGAGAGAGCCUCUUCUCUCUAAAAAAAAAAAAAAAAAAAAAAAAAAGCUUGCCAGCACAGCUUAGGUUUUGAAAUUUGUAUCUAAAAUAAACCUCAAGACUUCUGGAUAAACGACAAAAAAUUGUAGCCAUAAUACAUUCUGUAAUCCUUGUUUGUCAUGCACUUAAAUAAGUUCUCUCUACACCCUCAUAUUUGUUUCCUUGUGCAUCACUUGACUCUUUCUUUACUCUGUUCAUACUCAGCUGCUUCUUUGUUCCAGGCCACACUGCCUCGCCCCUCUCUCGAAAAAGAAAAGAUUCAGGGUGAUGUAAUGGCCCAGUCAAAGUUCAGACCUCAACAUGACUACAAACCUGGCAAGACCUUUAGAGAGCUGCGCAUAAGUGAACAGAAGCAAACUUGUAAAGAAGGAAGAGCCAUGUGACACACUGAUUUUUACUUUCCACAACACAAUGAAACACACCUAUUAGCUUUUCAUGUAUUUUGAAACUGUUUUUUAGACUCUUUUUAAAAAAAAAAAAUCUUUAAUGCCCUUUGGGUUAGCUUCUGUUGUUUAAAUGUGCUGUAGGCUUUGCUCUGAUAUGUGGUAAGCUAAAAGGAGUUAAAAAUGGAUACAGAUCUACAGUCAAUGGUAUAAAAAAAAUAUUAAAAAAUAAAUUAAUUCUAAUAAGCUAGAUACAAGUGAUAAAUACAAGGAUCAGGUCAAUCAGUAAAAAAAAAAAGUAAAUAAAUAAAUGUCAGAUGGUGAGUUCACUUACAAGGUUGUAUUGAGUCAAAGUCACAUCUUUCUGAGGAUCCAUGCAUCAUAAAAUGAGUUUAAAGGUCUGUUGUAGUUUCAGCGUGUUUAAGCUGUUCAGGUCGUUUCUAUUGUUUAGAUUGAGGAAGUGAAUCCA
ensembl:lncRNA